GUUUCAGUACCGAGCCGCCACAGGUCAGAACUCGUUGUGUCUCCGAUGUGUCGAACAUCUAUUUUCUCACUGUUUUCAAACGUAAUUUCGGUGCUACUCGUGGUGUAUGAAUUAAAAUCGCGUUGGAAAAGGAUUCUCUAAUAAUCUACCGCCUGUCAUCGUCGACAUCAAUCUACAUCGAGUAUUUAUUCGUUACUGGAAAUUGGCACUGGUAUGACAAAAGAGGUUAUUCUUACCGGGAACGCGUGCGGUCCCGCGAAUGUUUAUAUCCAACAGGGCGGUUGAACGUUGGGUAAACACGGAUUAUCUCUCCGUGGUGCGUGAUUCUCCUCGAUGAUUCUCAGAAAAACGGAGACACGUGUAUGCGUACCGGUAUACGCGAAUCCAAUCGUGCUCCGACUCUUCGUUGACUGGAUAAGAAUAAGAGUGCAGUUUCGUGACACGGCGUAAUUUACCGGUAGUGUGUAAAGCGUGCGAUGGCGGGGGAAACGGUGAUUUACAUUCGCGAGAUCGAUUUCGUCGAUUGAUUAAUGCCGAUACGCAACGAUUUAAUUGCAUCAUCCGUAUCAAAUCUCUGGAUACCUCUACUGCGUGUUCCUCAAGGUACGUUCCCGUGUAGUGUCGGUGCGAGUAACGACCUCUAAGAUAGGGGCAUACCGGCGAGUUCGUAUGAACCCAGUGGUGCAGUAAACUAGACGCUGUGCCCGGAACGUUAUUUGUGGUUAAGUUCGGUUCUAUUCGGAGUUUGACGAUUCUCGGGGAUUCCAACUGGCACAGUCACGUAAUGCCAGAUAACCAGACCGUUUAUUUGGAAUCGUAAAACAUUAGGAGAUUCAUCGCAACCGUAUAACGAUUCAAUAACCCCAUUCGAUAGAAAUUAGCUUUUCGAUCGGUGCAAUUAAUUUUGUCGGUGGAGUCGAACGUGUAUCUCGGUCUCAUACUUAACUCACUGCCAUUAUUUUAAAGUGUUCUUGCAUUAAACUUGAACCGUGAAUCGAUUCAUCAAAAUCACAGUGAUAAUUGUGUUUCAUAAUAAUUCUCCGAGUUGCCGUCGCGUCGCUUCAGAGGAUUCGUUGAUCUACCGCCUAAAUCUCUCCGGUCCUCUAGCUGCUUAAGACUCAAUCGAAAUCAUUUUCACUAUUUUCCGGAAGAAACUCAGCGAUUUUAGCUCGCCAUUGGUACUUAAGCGUUCCGGUGAAACGAUCAAAGAGUCCGAGCAGGAAAUCCGAGUAACAAUCUCGUUUCGUUCAAUUAAUCUCGCGGAACGGGAUUAAUUGAGACACCGGUUCGAGAUCCUCUACCGGCGUAGCAAUUAGGAGGGAGUCCGCGGUGGUAGAAGUUUCGUGAUCGAGGUGGUAGUCGGAUCGGUGGAAAGAAGGAUCGGUCGAAAGGACGAUUAGGGUAGCGAAGGUCGAGCAGGUGACGGGGAGGGAAUCGAGAAGGAAUACGACGGUAAAGUUGAGGAGGAUACAAAGGCGUCGGGACGAUGUGGACGACGGCGGCGCAAUGCAGCAACGACGGUGGCACCGGCAGCAAAAUCGGCAACAACAACGAGAACACCGACUGCACCGGCAGCAACAACAGCAGCUGCAAUUAGUGCCGGCUCACGACGGUCGCGAGACUACGUAACCGCUGAAAGAGCGUCGGGACGCGGGGGCGGGUGGUUAGGUCGGUCGGGACGUCGUUGAGAGUUGGAGGUUCGAGGGUGUGUGUUCAGUGCGCGAAAGGGAGACAAAAUGUGGUGGAGGUGCCGGUGGAGUGUCGCGACUACGACCACGGUGUUCGUGUUGGGGGUUGCCACGGUUUACUCGCAGCUGGAGAUAUCUGAUCUGGAUAAGCCAAUUCCAAUGGUUACCGUUAGCGGAGUAGUGGGAAAGAAAGUGCAGCUACCUUGUGACAUUCGUUCCGCUGAAAACGACAACGUCAGCAUGGUGCUUUGGUACAAAGAAGGAGAGGGAGAACCCAUCUACAGCUUCGACGUUCGUGGUCGUCGACAGUUUCACAAUGCUCGCCUUUGGUCGUCGCCGACGGCAUUGGGACCAAGAGCUUUUUUUUUCCCGGUGUCGAAUCCUGCUCACCUCAGCAUCGAGAAGCUGGAAUCCAGGGAUGAAGGGAUCUAUCGGUGUCGAGUAGAUUUCAAGAACUCGCCAACGAGAAAGCAGAAGACGAAUCUGACUGUUAUAGUGCCUCCGUCGAAGCCGGUGAUACUGGACGGAACGACGAGGGAUAUUUCGAGGUUAGAGGAACCCUACAACGAGGGGAGUGACGUGAACCUGAUUUGCGAGGUACGAGGUGGCAGGCCGCCCCCGAAGCUGACGUGGUACCUCGAGAACACCGUGAUAGACGAGUCCUAUCACUACAACACCGAGUCAGGUCUGACGGUUAACCGCUUGUCCUACCCUAAAGUUGGACGGCAACACCUCAAGGCCCGGCUGAUUUGUGAGGCGAGCAACACUAACUUGGAGCUACCGCAAACCAGACUCGUCAUCCUCGACGUCAAUCUAAAGCCACUGGUCGUGCAGAUUUUGACGAAGGAGCCUCGAGUUUCUGCUGACAAGAACUACGACGUGGAGUGCAGAACAAGUGGUUCCAGGCCAGAAGCAGUAAUUACUUGGUGGAAAGCGAACAAGCAGAUUAAGAAAAUGGCACAAAACUACGCAUUGGAGAAUAAUCAGAGCCUCAGUAUCUUGAGCUUCGUGCCAAGUAUAGAAGACGAUGGAAAAUAUCUGACGUGUCGAGCGGAGAACCCUGCCAUUCCCGACAGUGCUUUGGAGGACAAGUGGAGACUGGACGUGCAGUAUCAGCCUGUGGUGACUCUCAAGAUGGGCGAAACCUUGAAUCCGGAUAGUAUCAAAGAGGGUGACGACGUCUAUUUCGAGUGCUUAGUCAGGGCUAAUCCAAAAGUGUACAAGCUUGCCUGGUUCAAGGAUGGUAAAGAACUGAAGAACAAUCUCACUGGGGGUAUCGUCCUCAGCGAUUAUUCUCUGGUUCUUCAAGGUAUAACCCGAUACUCAGCGGGUGAUUACACCUGUCGUGCUGCCAAUGGCGAAGGAAAAACUACCAGUAAUCCAGUCACUCUUCGAAUAAUGUAUACGCCAGUUUGCAAAGAGGGUAGAAGCGAGGUGGUGGUGGGUGCCCUGAAACAGGAAACCGUAUCGUUGGUUUGUUCCGUGGAAAGUCAUCCCGCACCGUUGACUUUCCACUGGACAUUCAAUAAUUCUGGCGAGCUGGUGGAGGUUCCUCAUUCUCGUUACUCGCAUGUGCCAGCACCAGGGACACCGUCCGUUGCCGAAAGCCUGAAGGAGUAUCAACAGUUCCACGGCUCCAGGUUAAACUACACACCUUCCACGGAAAUGGACUAUGGCACUGUAGCGUGUUGGGCGACUAACCAAGUUGGCAAGCAACGAGCACCGUGUCUAUUUCAAGUGAUAGCUGCCGGACGUCCAUACGCUCUCCACAACUGUAGCGCGACAGAAAUGUCCGCCCCUUUGGAUAAUGAAGAAUUGAGCGCAAAAUCUGGAACCGGUCUUCUGGUGCGAUGUUUGGAAGGAUACGACGGUGGACUUCCAAUCUACAGUUACCAAUUAGAGGUCGUCUCCGACGAGGACGGUGGACCGAUAUUACUGAACAAGACCGUUCCAGCGAGCCCAAAUGGACCAAUGUUUGAGGUAGCAGGCCUAACGACAGGAAAGAGUUACCGACUUUUUCUCUACGCGAUUAAUGCGAAAGGGAGGAGCGAGCCUGCCAUUCUGGAGCCAGUGACCCUGAAGGGUGUUGCCAUGUACACCACCGGCACCACGGACGCCUCGAUGCUGAGUCCGUUGCUGUUGGGCCUGGCAGCGACGGCGACCCUUUUGGCCCUGGCCGUAACGGGAAUCCUGGCGGCGCUCUACCGGAAGCACUCAAACGGCCGGCCCGGAAGUCCGAAGCACGCUCCGAUCGUGUGCGAGCCACCUAAUGCAGGUGCAACUACCCCGGUCCACCCUCAGACCAAGCAGGCGGUCGAUGACAUCGAUCCGGACAUCAUACCCAACGAGUAUGAGAGAAGACCCCUAACGUACACCCCAAUAUACAAGACACCCCCGCAACGAAGAAAGAAGGAUCGAGUCACGGACGAGGCGAUUUCGCCGGAGAAAAGGCCGAUCGUGCAACACGGUUUAGAUCUUCCGCCGGAUCCGAUGUUGACCGAUUGCCUGCCAACACCGACCAUAAGUUACCCACAGAAUCACGUCUCGCAGACGAACACUUACAGCAACCCACCGACCAUGGCGGAUUUCAAGCAGAUGGCAAUGGAUGCUUACAAUCAGCGAAAUAAUCAAAACAUGCAGUUAUUGUUUUCAUUGAAAUAAAAUCUACCUACUUCGAUUCUUCGAUCAUCAUCAGCUUACAAAAACUGAAUCCAGAAUAGAUAAUAGAUGAACAGUUUUGUAUUAUAUAAUACUUGAAAAUUACAAAAGCAACGCGCCAAGAAAAAGGCGUACGCUAUUGGACGAGACAUUGUAACUCGUACAUUUCUGAGAGCUCGGCAUAACGGUGUUUGCAUACAUUACGCACCUUCGGUCUUGUUAACAACGACCAGCAGGGAACGCCACGUACCCUAUUAUUAUAUGUGCCAGUCGUGUCUCUGGGGCUAUUAAGACGACCUACUCUGCAUCCAACGUUCUCCCAGCUUUCCAAACUGUCACCAACUCUGCUUGUGAAUACACCAAGUAAUUACGAUCCAUCCAAGUAGUGUAAUCCGAUGAUUUUGUACAAACUACAAACUAGACACUCAUUGAAAUGAGUACUGCUUGACCCGAUUUUGUUGAAGUUGAUAUUCAGUUGUCCAAGUUAACCUCAAAAUUAACCGGAACCAGUUGAUUGUGACCACUUUGAGUAAAUUGCUUCGUUAGAAAAGGUUUUCUACGACGGGUCCCAUCCCAUGCCCUAAGAAGGACCAAGUUACGGUAAUGGACAUAAUAUCUCCACCGGAAGUACCAAUCGACGGAAGAUUUUCGAAGCCACCCCCUCAGCCUUCGCGGGAAUUGAACAGUGCUUCCUCAGCUGCCGAAGGGAGACGAGAAAUUACCUUGGAAGGCAAACAAAUCUUUCCAUAAAUCGUCCCUGGUCGAACGCAAGCAGAUUUUCUGAAAAUUCUAUCGCGCGUACCCUCGUAACGAGCCCCUUUUUAAAAAGAGAAACGCUCGACUUAGCGUCAUAACCGGCAACCGGCAGUCAGCAGGUAGGACGAAUAGCAGGGUAUUUCGAAGGUUUACACGAGGAAUUCUGCAUCUUGCCGAGGACAAUGGAAAGCUGAAGACCGUCAUUAACCGUGGAAGAGGUGGGAUGUAUGCUGUAGCCUUGAAACAAGAGCACCCCGAAACAAGCCAGUCUAUUGGUCCUGCCACACGGAAAACGACCACGCACACAGUGGGUCAGGUAAACGAUGACUGGCAACAGAAACCCACGAAUUUCGCGGAGUUUCAGGCUUUCGAAACAAUGGAAACUUGUCCGCUUCUCUGGAUCCCUCGUGGAUUAGGCGGGCAACGUCAGCCACGGUAUACACGGUUCCUGAUAAAUAGUUCCUUUCCGGUAUAAUUCGGGGAUCUACGCUAUUGACCCCUCGAAUUGCUGAUGAAAGAACACUGUGACAGUUCCUGAAAUAUGUAGCUGAGCCAAGGCAGAGAUUAACUAAGAAAUCAAAGUACUUAUAUUAAAUAUUUAAAAUGAUGGAUAAUAGAUACAAUGGGAUGUGGUAGAAAUAAUAGACAAAAUUUCUUCAAUAAAUAGGGAACUUAUAAGUAGAUGUAAAAUGAAAACACUAACAUUUAUUCGAGUUAGAAAUAAUAUUACUUCUUAUUAUGCGAAACAACACGGUUCAGCAGAUGCAUAGAUCCUGGAGAGCACCAGGUUUCCUGUGUUUUUAGUGCUACUUGGAAUACGAAUUGUGCUAACGUUUCUGGAUCACUUGAUUUAAGAUCUGAAUUAUUUUAAUUUUCUUAAUUUUAUUCAAUUACUUUAAAUAUUAUUUUUGAACAUGAUCUAAAUUUUCAAUUUAAAAAAUUUACUUAAACGCGGAUCAAAAAUGACACUACUGAUGUUCGUAAGUUGAAUUUCGGGGACGCGAUAUCUUAUCGCAAAGAACAUCAAGCCACGUCGGUGUUCGAUAAAUUUUCAAAAGGUAGAGUAGCCAAUACGAAGAGCCUGGAGUCGCAAGCUCGAAGCUUGCGAAAUGCCGUUUGCGAGCUGAUUAAUGGUCCAGGCUUAUGUA